UUGGAUCAGCUGCUGCAGUUUUCCUCGCUGUGACUCUCCUCUCCGUGUUCCUACUGAUCAGAAAAAAGAGAAACUCUCAUCAAUCUGCUGAACCUGGGGACAGACUUGACCACAGUGAGCAGCAUCUACACAAUCAGUCGGAGGAAAACUGUGACCUUAACUAUGACAGUGUCCACUUCAUGAAGAGAGAGACGGAUCCAAUCUACUCCAACGUCAGAUCAGCUGAACCCAGCGAACACAAGGAGACGGAGGAGGUUGCGUACGCUUCUGUCAACUUUAACAGAUCUGCCCCGAGAACCAGAGGUCAGGACACUGGAGAGGAUCCAGCUGCAUUGUACAGCACAGUCAAAACACCUCCUGCUGUUUAGACCAACGUCUGGAAAUCACCUGAGUCCCGAUGGAAAUAUCUCAACAGCUGCUGAAUAGAUUUGAAUAGAUGUUCAUACAACUGUUCAUGGUCCCCACAGGAUUAAUCCUUCUUUGGUGACAGACUCCAGCAUCAUUGUUGAAGUGAAUGUUCAGUUUUAAGUGACUUGUCUUGACAGCUCAUGGAUAA